ensembl:lncRNA
GGAGCUCUUCCAGGGAUCGUUCGCUUCACAUGGAAACAGUUAUGUCCAAGCACUCACGCAUGGAGCUCUCCCAGCGAAAUGUCUGCACAUUCCUCUCCAAAGGAACCCGGCGCAGCGGCCAGCUGGACCCCGUGCCGCGGAGAGAAAGGUUUCUGAUGUCCUGGAGGAAAUUGGCAGCGCCGAGCGGAGAACGAGAACAAGAGAGAUUGAGAAUGAGGCAUCAGGUGGCCGGACCUGUUUGGCACCUUCGGGGAUGUUCGGAUAAUCCAGGACUCGUGCGCACGAAUUGUCCGAGACGGCAAAACCCAGGGCUUCGAGGGUGGGUAGGCGAAAGAAAGAGGGUCACUUCUUGGUCAUAUUUUCCACUCAAGGAAGGCACUUUGUAUGUACAGUAGAGUCUCACUUAUCCAACGUUCUGGAUUAUCCAACACAUUUUUGUAGUCAAUGUUUUCAAUAUAUCGUGAUAUUUUGGUGCUAAAUUCAUAAAUACAGUAAUUACUACAUAGCAUUACUGUGUAUUGAACUACUUUUUCUGUCAAAUUUGUUGUCUAACAUGAUGUUUUGGUGCUUCAUUUGUAAAAUCAUAACCUAAUUUGAUGUUUAAUAGGCUUUUCCUUGAUGCCUCCUUAUUAUCCAACAUAUUCGCUUAUCCAACAUUCUGCCGGCCCGUUUAUGUUGGAUAAGUGAGACUCUACUGUACGUAUAAUCACCCAGCAGUCAUGUUCGCUGGCUUGCUUUGCACAAGACAAAUGACAAUUUGGUAUUGCAGUGUUGUGGCUAAUGAAAAGUGUAGUCCACAAAAUAAUAAUGAUCUCCCUCUCUCUCCAGCACUUGGGUAUAUAUGCUAACAACAACAACAACAACAACACAAUAAUAACAAUAAUACAAUGAUAAUAAUAUUAAUAAUAAUAAUAAUUAUAAUAAUAAUUUACUUGUAAGAGGACUCCUACAAGUAAAACAAGCAGUCAAAGAAGAAGAACAUGCCCUGGCAGAAUAUGUAAAGCAAAGUGAAGAACCUGCUUUGAUUGAAGUCAAAAAUCAGAAACUCCUCAAAGCACAGCAGACAAAAAACCAGUACAAGAAAACCGCACUACAAACUAGAGCUGACAGCUGGCACAACAAAACAUUGCAUGGAAAGUUCCUUGACAAAAUUGAAGGAAAAGCUGAUAAGGAGAAGACCUGGCUCUGGCUCACGAAUGGGACCCUGAAGAAGGAGACACAAGGCCUGAUCCUUGCAGCCCAGGAGCAAGACAUCAGGACAAAGGCAAUCAAGGCCAAGAUUGAAAAAUCAGCCGAUGACCCAAAAUGCAGACUGUGCAAGGAAAUCGACAAAACCAUUUAUCAUAUCCUCAGCUGUUGUAAGAAAAUCACACAGACAGACUACAAACAGAGGCACAACUAUGUGGCCCAAAUGAUCCUUUGGAACUUAUGCCUCAAGUACCACCUCCCAGCAGCAAAGAACUGGUGGGAUCACAAACCUGCAAAAGUAUUGGAAAAUGAGCACGCAAAGAUACUGUGGACUUCCGAAUCCAGACUGACAAAGUUCUGGAACACAACACACCAGACAUCACAGUUGUGGAAAAGAAAAAGGUUUGGAUCAUUGAUGUCACCUGGGAUGGCAACAUCAAUGAUCCAAACCUUUUUCUUUUCCACAACUGUGAUGUCUGGUGUGUUGUGUUCCAGAACGUUGUCAGUCUGGAUUUGGAAGUCCCACAGUAUCUUUCCGUGCUCAUUUUCCAAUACUUUUGCAGGUUUGUGAUCCCACCAGUUCUUUAUUGCUGGGAGGUGGUACUUGAGGCAUAAGUUCCAAUGAAUCAUUUGGGCCACAGAGUUGUGCCUCUGUUUGUAGUCUGUCUGUGCGAUUUUCUUACAGCAGCUGAGGAUAUGAUCAAUGGUUUCGUCAGUUUCCUUGCACAGUUUGCAUUUGGGAUAUUAUUAUUAUUAUUAUUAUUAUUAUUAUUAUUAUUAUUACUACUACGUUUCCCAAACCCACAGCCCUGUAUGGGAGGCUUGGCUCAGGCAU